GUGUUUGCUUCAGCAGCACAUAUACUAAAAUUGGAAUAAUACAGAGAAGAUUAGCAUGGCCCCUAAGCAAGGAUGAUACCACAAAUUUGUGAAGCCUUCCAUAUUUUU
rnacentral:snRNA from 1 species